rnacentral:rRNA from 1 species
AUUGAACGCUGGCGGCAUGCCUUACACAUGCAAGUCGAACGGUACAGGUCUUCGGAUGCCGACGAGUGGCGAACGGGUGAGUAAUACAUCGGAACGUGCCCGAGAGUGGGGGAUAACGAGGCGAAAGCUUUGCUAAUACCGCAUACGAUCUCAGGAUGAAAGCAGGGGACCGCAAGGCCUUGCGCUCACGGAGCGGCCGAUGGCAGAUUAGGUAGUUGGUGGGAUAAAAGCUUACCAAGCCGACGAUCUGUAGCUGGUCUGAGAGGACGACCAGCAACACUGGGACUGAGAUACGGCCUAGACUCCUACGGGAGGCAGCAGUGGGGAAUUUUGGACAAUGGGCGCAAGCCUGAGCCAGCCAUGCCGCGUGCAGGAUGAAGGCCUUCGGGUUGUAAACUGCUUUUGUACGGAACCAAAAGACUCUGGUUAAUACCUGGGGUCCAUGACGGUACCGUAAGAAUAAGCACCGGCUAACUACGUGCCAGCCGCCGCCGUAACAC